UACCUCUUGAUCUAGACUUGAGACCAAGGAUGGACCACCUCCAAGCCCUUUGUUCCUUGAACUCCUUGAGCCUAACUUCCCUCCUUGCCUCCUCCACUUUGUAGAAUAAGUGCUCCUAGGUUCUCUUCAAGUUUCCAAAGUAGGAAACCUCUAAAGAUCCUCACCCACUAGUGUAGUGAGAAGGAUGAAGGAAUAACCAAAAGGGUGAAAGAUGUGUUAGUAAAAACACCCCUAAGGUAGCCGGCCUUUGUAGUGUUAGAGAGCUAUUUUUCUUUUGCCUCUUUGUUGUUUUAACACUUCAAAAACCCUUAUGAACAAUAUCUCUAUAAAGUUCCUUAUAUAGACAAAAAGAAACCUAGUCAACCACUUGACUAAAUAUCUCUCCCUUUCCACUUAAAGUGGCCGGCCUCUUGUGUUGGAUUUGGGCUUUGGGCUUUUAUAUAUUUCAAGUCAUCCAAUGCUUGAAUAAAAGCCCAAUGGGUUUAGGCCCAAUGGACCCAAUUAAACCCGAACGUUUCUUUAAGCCCAAAACGAUCUUUAUCGCUUUUAUGAUUUCUUUAGACUUUCUAAAUUAAUCACAACACUUAAUUUAAUCCAAUUAAUUAUUUCCAUCAUCCAUUAGUUACUCACUACAAUAGUGUAUUGGUGAACAAUCUUUUAGGUUCUAAUUAGCAAGGCAGUGAGGUGAUUGGCACCAAUCCAAUUGAUUAUAUUUAAUCCAAUCACUUAGUGAAUUAAAACAUACUUUUAAUUCACCUUCUUCUUUGACGACUACAUUUAAUCAUUUAGAAGAACUCACAAGCCAUGAGUGACAUCUAACCAUAUAUCAUGGCUACCCAAGCUAAUGUAGAAGUUUGUUCGGAGAACCUAUUCAGUUGGAAUUACAAUGUAAUUCGAUCCUUCUCUAAAAACAAUACUCUCAAUCACAUUACUAGGGUAUGGAAAUAUUAUGUCAAACCCCUAAUGUGAUUAUUCCUUCUUAUAUGAUUCUUUUGAGUCGUAUAGGAACGCUUUCCUUUAUUACGCUCGAUACUUCGGCCGAAAAUUCCCGAAUCAUAUCUUAGAGUAUUCUUCCUCUCUUAUCGAGGAUUAGAGAUUCCUUGUUGCGCAUACACUUGCCUUCAUGACUAAGUAGCUUAACCCCAAUUAUGCCGUGGACACCCGCGAAUGGGGAGACUUUGACAUAAUCAAAGAUUAAGUACUUAACCACAAGACAACGACGAUGCCUCAGGUCAAAGGACUACUUACAUUAUUCCAACCAUUAGAGUUACUUGCUUGACAUGUGAGUAGACCUCCAUGCAAGUACUCUCGUUCGAUUGUGUUCAAUGAACUCAUUCCCUUAAUGAGCACCUACAUACUUGUCUUAGUGUCACAACACGAAUGGGAUGAGACUUUCCAUCCUUCCAUUUGAAGCAGACACAGUAUGUACCGGUCUAAGCAUUGUCAGUAUCCCUCCGACAAUCCAAUGACCAUGAACCUUUUUGGACAUUUGGUUAUGUGAAGAAGGUCUCUGUAGUCUAACAUCAUUAGAUUACUUCUUCAAUCGAUCCAUUGUCCAUGGAUACACUAUUUAGGACAUAUAUCGUUUAUUGAGAUAGUCCUAAUUAGUAUCUUUGCCAUUUGAUGUAUAAGAUUCAUCUAUACAUCGAUUUAUUUGUCCUGAAAGGUUUCUUCCAAAGAUUGACUUUCAGGGCAUAUUUCCAACAAUCUCCCACUUGCACUAAAGUCAAUCACUAGUGUAUCUUAUACAUCUUGUUGAGAGAGCUUUAUGCUCGUAGAUUAACUUGGUUAUGUAUUAAUCCCUUUUAUUAUUUAAAGGGAUUUUCUUAUCAAAUGUUUCCAAAACAUUUGAUGAUGUCUCUUUAUUGUGUUCGAAUACUUUGAUGAGACCUUGAUUCCAUGGCUUGAGCUAUCGCCCCAUUACGUCGUAGUAUCCUACUAACGACCUUAUGGUUUGGAUUCAAUCAUUGGUUCUAUAAGAACCCCUUCAUUCAAAACACCUUUUUGAAGCAGUUUCUAAUAUCGUCAUUUAUUUCGUUUGUAUACUUUAUACAAACUUUGCUCCAACCUUGAGACCAUUGUAGUACAAUACUAACAAUUCAUUCAUAUGAUUAGUACUUCAUCCAUUAUGAAGUUCCAUUUGUUAAAAUGUCUUAUUUUUCACUUUGGUUAAUAACCUAAGUGAAUGCACGCUUCCAGAGUCCCACUCUGAUGUUUCUUUCUUAAAGGCAAUAAUACUCCAUCAGUUGCUUUGGUUCUGAUCCUGGGAUAUAGUAAUAUCUUAAAGUGACAACCAUGUGGUUCUUCACCUUUGGAUAUCUACUUCACAAGUCUAUACAUGUGUCUCUUUUGUGAUUUUGUGACAUAUUCAUUAUAAGGGUUAUGAAAGUGAUUUUCUAUCACAUAGGAAAAAGCUUUCUUAAAUCUACAACAUUUGAGAUUUAAUUCCCAUAUAACAUCAUUGAGAUAGCCUUGCUAUAUCAAUAAGUCCAAUUUCAAGUCUAUACUUCAAAAUUGACCAUGUCAUGUUUUGUCAUUUUUCGAGUAACAUUUAUGUUUUAUCAAGUCUAUCAAAUAGACUUUAUUCACAUCAUGUUGCUCAAAUUAUAACAUCACUCCCACUGGCCUUGUUGUAACUUAGCAUUCAUUCAAAAAUAACAAUUAUAUUUUCUUGAUUUGAAUGCAUAUUGCUCCCACUUAACUUAAACGAAUCAUACACAAAAGAAUUCCUUCUCAAGUAAUUCCAUGAAAUGUGUGACUUGCUUUAUCAAGUCUAUUCAUUUAAAUUAUAUGGUGUCAUACAUCAUACUUUAAGUUUUAGUCAUACUAAGACCUUUAAUGUAGUCAUAUAAGAAUUAUCCAAGUCUUUAGUGGAAGCAUGGCUCCUACUAAGGAUAACAACUCAACCAUUCCUUCUAGGUGGUUGAUAUAAUUCUUUAUCAAAACUACAUAGAGCAUAUAUUGUUACAUGAGAUGUUGAAUUUGGAUUGUCUUGUUGUUAAACCAUAUGUUGUGACUCAUUUUGAAACUAUUCCCUUUUGUUUCAUCAACUUGUCCAUAUGCUUAGUUAUUUAGCUUGUUCUCUUAAAAGAGAAUGAAGGACAACUCCCAACAUAUAACCAUUUUAUGCUAGGUUGACGAAACCAACAUUCAAAGACUAUUCUUUAGAAUGUCACACAACAUAGAAUUUUAACGUUUGAAGAGCUUGAGUCCUUUAACAAUUAAAAUUACAAACUCUUAAUAAUAGUCAAGUACUAUUAUCCUUUAGACAACUAUAAACCAAUCAUAUUCAAGUUUAUAUCCAUUUUCACACCUCCCACUAUUUCUCAUGACUUUAAUGAGAAAUCAUUUCAUACAUUCAAAAUGUAUAAAAGUGGAUUAUAUUGGUAGAAGACAUUGUGUAGUAGCUUAAAAAACCUUUCAAGCUCAUUUGUUUCAAUCUUCACUAAGUUAAUGUCUUGUUAUUAAGUGACUAAAGUCUUUAAACAUUUUAUAGAUUUAGACACUUCUUUCUUGGUUUAAUCACUAACACAAUUGACAUUUUAAAACCUUUUAAAGAAUGCCCAAUUAGUUGUUCAAAACUACUAAUUGAAUCAAGAGUGAUCUUGAUCAUUGUGUUUCAAGUGAUAACCAUAUAAGAAACGUUUUUCUUAUUACUUAUAUCAUUAUAAUGUGAUCUUCCUUUUCACCAAGAAAGGAUUCUCUAGACUUUUGUCAAUUCAUAUAGAACUCAUAGAUAGACAAAUGGAACCAAAUCUAAAGAUUCAUUGUAUCCUUUUAUGUCCUACAUGUGAGAUCUAUCCAUAAUUGAUAAUCUAAAGUUUGGUUAUCACAUUACAAUAAGUGAUAUAACUCUUGUAUCUCAUCUAGGAUACAACAAGACAAUUUUCAAUUCAUAACACUACUUUAAGGAAAUAGUAUAUUGAAAAGGCAUUCUUCACAUUACAUUAAUAUGAUAAUUCAAACAUUCAUAAUGUUUAAUACAAAAAGUAUUAGCUCUAUACAUUUAGAGACUAAUUUAAAUACCUUUAUACAUUUAGGCACUAAUAGUGGUCUUCCAUCAUAUGAAGCCACAUAAUAAGUUCUUAUCAAAAUAAGAAAGUUUAAAGACUAUCUUUAAAUGCCUAACAAACUUCCUUAGUAAGCAAAAACAUGGUGGCCAAACUCUUCUCCACACUUUUCCUUGCUUGUUCCUCUUCUACUUGGCUCCUCCACCUAUAUACAAUUAUACAAGUGAUUAGCCCUUUAUAUCAAAUAUAAAUAUAAGAAGAUCUAACAAUUAGAAUUGAAGAUAAGAACAUAAACCAUACCUUGUGGCUUGUCCUUAAGAGUUUCAAGGUAUAACCUGCAAUUCCUCUUCCAAUGCCCCUCCUUUCCACAGUGGUGGCAAGUCCCCUUGGGCUCCAUUGCCUUCUUUUUCUUCACUCCUCCUUUCGGCUUAGGAGUGGGUGACUUCUUCUCCUUCCCUUUGCCUUUGCCUUGCGGCUUGGCCUUAGAAGAGGAUGGCUUGUUGUAGACUACUGCAGAAGUCCCUACAACGUUCUCUUUCUUCAUAGUCUUCUUGGCAGUUACUAACAUAUUUAGUAACUCAGAGAGAGUACUAUCCAUCUUAUUCAUAUUGUAGUUCAUUACGAACUGCGCGAAUGAAUCAGAAAGAGAAGCCAAUACGAAGUCCUGGCCAAUUCCCCGUCAAGUGGAGUACCAAGGUUCUCCAAUUGUUCAAUGAAUCCUAUCAUCUUCAGUACAUGUUGAUGCAUUGGAGCCCCCUUGACCAUCUUGGUCUUCACAAGUUCACAAAACAGUGUUAAAGCGACGGUUGCGCGUCCCUUCACCAUAUAACUCCGUAAGAUAGAGUAUUAUGGAAGAUGCACUGUCCAUGCCCUCGUGCUGUCUCUGUAGCUCCUCAUUCAUGGAAGCCAACAGAUAGCACUUGGCUUGUGUGUCAUCCUCAACGUGCUUGUCAAACUUAGCACGUUCAUCCUCAGUAGCCUUAGGGCCGAGAGGUAUGUGAGGUGGAGCCUUGUCUAGUACGUAAACAAUCUUCUCCAAUGUUAGGAGAAUCUUGACAUUAUGAUACCACGAUGGGAAAUUAUGCCCCUCUAGGCAAUGUUUGUCAAGUAUUUUCGCGAGUGUGCUUCCAACCAUAUCUAUAUACAUAACAAUAAAAUAAUUAGAUUGAUUGUUGAUUAAGUCAAACGAUUCGGGUCUUUAAACCGAAUGACACCACCCACCAUUUUUGGCAAAUUCCAUAUCCUUCAAGAUGGAAUCCGGGAGAUUUCAAAGAAAGCUCCUAGCGGGUUAUGGGAGGCUCACUAUUACCAAGCCCACCUCACGAUUAUACGAUGUUGGCUAGCAAAAAUAAUAAUGAGAGGGUACACUUACCCAUUCACAACAACCUCUUGUGAUUACCCAUCUUUUUGGCCUCUAGAGAACAAUGCCUCACGAUUAUACGAUGUUGGCACCAUUUCUCUUAGUUAAGUUCUUUCCCACCAUGCCGGUUUAGAUAGGGGUUCAAGCAUGACCUCACGAUUAUACAAUGUUGGCCACACUCGUUGCCUACCUUCACCUCAUCAAAUGUUGUAAAUAAACUCCUCCUGAAUAUAAGCAUGCACUUUGCACUCCCCCAUUAUAGGGUGAAGGCGGUGUACAAGUCAUAAACGAUUGGAGCCUACCACGGUGGAAGGCCACGAAAAGUGUUCAAAGCACUCUUACGCUUACAACUUAAUAUUGUUUGGUUGAGGGAUUUUAAGGUCUCAUCAAUUUUAUUUAUUUAAUCACAUUCAAAUAAAUAAUAUCCUAUUACAACUACUAGUCCAAAGUUUAAUGAAUUUAGUAGCAUAUAAUAUCCCCACUAUUCGUUUUCAUAAAACAAAUCAAUAUCAAAACAUUUUUCAAAAUAUUGGAGAUAUAUAUACUACUAAUUGUAUUCAUUAUAGUUUAGUAGCAUAUGAUACUCCCACUAUUUGUUUUAAGAAAAACAAAUCAAUAUCAAAAACGAAUUUUUCAAAUAUUGGAAGUAACUAAUACUACUAAGGUUUUUGCAUUCCUUUGAAAUUGGACUUUAUAGUUAUCUUAGGCUCUUGGAUGACCAUGGACUUAUUGGGUUAUUGCAACAACGAGCCAACAUUGUUGAGUAUAAACUCGGGGAGGUUGUGUCAAUUUAAUUACGUGCUUAUCAAUCCAAUUAAAACAUUUUCAUUGAGCCAUUAGAAAUGAAAGACAAUCAUUCAUUGCUAAUUAGGGCAUUGGACCCAUUUAAUCUUUAAUCUCAUGUCAAAACCCUCUUUUAGUUAUGUCUCCUUAGCAAUAGUUAAAGAAACUCUAGUCUAGCACUAGAGGGAAUCAACUAACGAAUAGAGAUUAAGAAGUAAUAAGAAUUACAAACCGAUUUGUACAAAUUCCUAUAAAUUACACAUACUAAAAGGGGAGAGAUAGAUUAAUGUCAAACGUGACAAGGUCCAAUUAAACAAUAAUUAAAACACAUUCCCAAGGUUCAAACAAUUUGAUUUUAGCGCCUUAUCUCAUAGCUCAAUUAUCGUUUAAGGCAUAAGUCCAUAGUCACCCUUUUUCUACUUAAUCACAUUAAAUAAUCAAAAUAGAAUGCAACAUGAACAUUUAGAUUUAGUGCAUAUGGGCAUAAUAGUAUUAUGAGUUUAAACAACUAACAAAAUUAAAAUCAAAUAUUUUAACUUUCUAGUUAGUAGGGGCCUAAAUGCAAAUAUGAAAAAGUUAGGGGUCAAACCAUAAAUACUCAAAAGUAAAUAUCAACUUUUCAAAGAUUAAAAAAUAGCCCCACAAGUGGAUAAAUCCACUAGGGAGGCUGGCCACAUUAAGGGGAUGGGAGGUUUCUUACACACUCUUACACAACAUGCAUCAAAAACCACAUUAUGUAGAAAAAAUUAAAUUUUGCUUGUCACUUGGUUUUGCUUCAAAGACUUUAGGGAAAAGGUGAUGGAAAUCCUCCUAGUCAAGUCUAGGGUUUUAUAAAUAUAUGAUAUGGUUAUGGAUGGUAUGAACAUCAUCCAAAACCACAAAACAAUUCAUGAAAACCAAAUAAAACCAUUUUCACCUAAAACCAAACCAUGAACACCAAGAACAAAACCAUGAACACAUUUUCAAGAUUUGUAUAUUCUUGGUGAUUUUUCAAACCCAAAAACAAAAGUGACAAGAACCCUUUUUUCUAGCUUUAAAAGGAUGUGUGAGUGGUUUACAAUAAAACACAAACACAACCCAAAACCACCCCCAAAAAACCGUGCCCUCCCUUUUGGUUCAAAACCCCAAAAUUUUUGUUCAUGACUUAUUCUUCAUUCAUGCAUACAAAACAACUUUUACAUGCAUAUCUUUUCAACUCUUGAUUUAUAUUUUUCAACCAUUGAAAAACAAAAGACAAACAAACUUUAAAUGAAGAAAUAAUAUGUCAAACUAGUUCUAAACUCAUUUUUCAUUCAUGCAUACAAAACAUUUUUGCAUACAUAUCUUUCUCAACUAUUGACUAACAUUUUUCAACUAUUGAAAAACAAAAGAUAAACAUAUUUUGAAUGAAGCAAUAAUUAUGUCAUACAUAAUAUUAAUACCCAUAUGCAUAAAAUCCAAAAGGACACAUUAUACAUAAACCUUUCGCUUUGAUACCACUUGAAGGGAAAAUUAUGAGUUUUCACAUAUAGGGAUUUCAAAAUGACUAUCAUGCAUAUACAAAUCAAAUUUAAUAUAGGAAAGCAGCGGAAGCAUUUAUAACAUAUUAUCAAAGCUAUAGUCAUGCAAAUCCCCUUCAAGGUUCAUAGGUUUAUAUAUAAUGCAUCAAAACAAUUUUAGAGAAGAACAAAGUGAAGGUUUAGUCUAAUACCUCUUGAUCUAGACUUGAGACCAAGGAUGGACCACCUCCAAGCCCUUUGUUCCUUGAACUCCUUGAGCCUAGCUUCCCUCCUUGCCUCCUCCACUUUGUUAGAAUGAGUGCUCCUAGGUUCUCUUCAAGUUUCCAAAGUAGGAAACCUCUAAAGAUCCUCACCCACUAGUGUAGUGAGAAGGAUGAAGGAAUAACUAAAAGGGUGAAAGAUGUGUUAGUAAAAACACCCCUAAGGUGGCCGGCCUUUGUAGUGUUAGUGUUAGAGAGCUAUUUUUCUUUUGCCUCUUUGUUGUUUUAACACUUCAAAAACCCUUAUGAACAAUAUCUCUAUAAAGUUCCUUAUAUAGACAAAAAGAAAACCUAGUCAACCACUUGACUAAAUAUCUCUCCCUUUCCACUUAAAGUGGCCGUCCUCUUGUGUUGGAUUUGGGCUUUGGGCUUUUAUAUAUUUCAAGUCAUCCAAUGCUUGAAUAAAAGCCCAAUGGGUUUACGCCCAAUGGGCCCAAUUAAACCCGAACGUUUCUUUAAGCCCAAAACGAUCUUUAUCGCUUUUAUGAUU
rnacentral:lncRNA from 1 species